AAGGGUGAUGGGGAAAAAAGGGUGAAAGGAAAGGGAUGAAGAAAAAGGGUGAGAAAGGGUGAUGGGGAAAGAAGGGUGAAAGGAAAGGGAUGAAGAAAAAGGGUGAGAAAGGGUGAAGGGGAAAGAAGGGUGAAAGGAAAGGGAUGAAGAAAAAGGGUGAGAAAGGGUGAAGGAGAAAGAAGGGUGAAAGGAAAGGGAUGAAGAAAAAGGGUGAGAAAGGGUGAAGGAGAAAGAAGGGUGAAAGGAAAGGGAUGAAGAAAAAGGGUGAGAAAGGGUGAAGGAGAAAGAAGGGUGAAAGGAAAGGGAUGAAGAAAAAGGGUGAGAAAGGGUGAAGGGUGAAAGGAAAGGGGAUGAAGAAAAAGGGUGAAGGGGAAAGAAGGGUGAAAUUAAAGGGGAUGAAGAAAAAGGGUGAGAAAGGGUGAAGGGGAGAGAAGGGUGAAAGGAAAGGGGAUGAAGAAAAAGGGUGAGAAAGGGUGAAGGGUGUGAGGGUGAGUAUGGACACAGGCUCACCCGCAGCCAAAGCGACCACCUGACUUCUGGUUCCCCCGUACAGGUCUGGGGGAGGCAGCGGGGGAGACCUGGUUACUCUCUUUCUCUC